rnacentral:rRNA from 1 species
UACAGAGGGGGCAAGCGUUGUUCGGAAUUACUGGGCGUAAAGGGCGCGUAGGCGGCCUUCUAAGUCGAACGUGAAAUCCCUGGGCUCAACCCAGGAACUGCGUCCGAUACUGGAAGGCUUGAAUCCGGGAGAGGGAUGCGGAAUUCCAGGUGUAGCGGUGAAAUGCGUAGAUAUCAGGAGGAACACCAGCGGCGAAGGCGGCGCUCUGGGCUGGAACUGACGCUGAGGAGCGAAAGCGUGGGGAGCGAACAGG